AUUAUAGUUAAUGUAUGGGAGGGCUUGUGUAAUGCGAGAAGAGUCACCCUGGAAAUUGGUAGGCUUUCCUCAAGAGGUGCAUUUUCAGUAACUUGAAGAGAACUGGAAUCUAUGGGAAAGACUAAUAGACCAAGGCAGGGCAUGCUAUAGGAAUUGUUCAGCACUCAAGAAAAAGUGUAGAUGAGAAUUAGCAGUAUGGGAAUGAGCAGAGAACAGAAGAAGGGGUUCAUUUGUUA